GUAGGUGGCAAGCGUUGUCCGGAAUUAUUGGGCGUAAAGCGCGCGCAGGCGGUUCUUUAAGUCUGAUGUGAAAGCCCACGGCUCAACCGUGGAGGGUCAUUGGAAACUGGAGAACUUGAGUACAGAAGAGGAAAGCGGAAUUCCACGUGUAGCGGUGAAAUGCGUAGAGAUGUGGAGGAACACCAGUGGCGAAGGCGGCUUUCUGGGCUGUAACUGACGCUGAGGCGCGAAAGCGUGGGGAGCAAACAGGAUUAGAUACCCUGGUAGUCCACGCCGUAAACGAUGAGUGCUAAGUGUUAGGGGGGUUUCCGCCCCCCUUAGUGCUGCAGCUAACGCAUUAAGCACUCCGCCUGGGAGUACGGCCGCAAGGCUG
rnacentral:rRNA from 1 species